rnacentral:rRNA from 1 species
CAGCAUGAACUUAGCUUGCUAAGUUUGAUGGCGACGGCGCACGGGUGAGUAACACGUAUCCAACCUUCCGUUUACUCAGGGAUAGCCUUUCGAAAGAAAGNUUAAUACCUGAUAGUAUGGUGAGAUUGCAUGAUAGCACCGAUUAAAGAUUUUAUCGGUGUACGAUGGGGAUGCGUUCCAUUAGGUAGUAGGCGGGGUUAACGGCCCACCUAGCCAACGAUGGAUAGGGGUUCUGAGAGGAAGGUCCCCCACAUUGGAACUGAGACACGGUCCAAACUCCUACGGGAGGCAGCAGUGAGGAAUAUUGGUCAAUGGACGAGAGUCUGAACCAGCCAAGUAGCGUGAAGGAUGAAGGUCCUACGGAUUGUAAACUUCUUUAUAAGGGAAUAAACCCUCCCACGUGUGGGAGCUUGUAUGUACCUUAUGAAUAAGCAUCGGCUAACUCCGUG